GACAGAGGGUGCAAACGUUGUUCGGAAUUACUGGGCGUAAAGCGAGUGUAGGCGGUUUGGUAAGUCGGAUGUGAAAGCCCCGGGCUCAACCCGGGAAGUGCACUCGAUACUGCCAAGCUAGAGUAUCGGAGAGGUUGGUGGAAUUCUCGGUGUAGAGGUGAAAUUCGUAGAUAUCGAGAGGAACACCGGUGGCGAAGGCGGCCAACUGGGCGAAUACUGACGCUGAGACUCGAAAGCGUGGGGAGCAAACAGG
rnacentral:rRNA from 1 species